AACGUAGGACGCAAGCGUUAUCCGGAAUUACUGGGCGUAAAGCGCGUGUAGGUGGUUUUAUAAGUCACUGUUGAAAGCUCCCGGCUAAACUGGGAGAGGUGCGGUGAGACUGUAGAGCUAGAGUUUGGGAGAGGGGUGCGGAAUUCCGGGUGUAGUGGUGAAAUGCGUAGAGAUCCGGAGGAACACCAGAGGCGAAGGCGGGUCUCUGGGCCGAUACUGACGCUGAGGAGCGAAAGCGUGGGGAGCGAACAGG
rnacentral:rRNA from 1 species